rnacentral:rRNA from 1 species
UACGAAGGGGGCUAGCGUUGCUCGGAAUCACUGGGCGUAAAGCGCACGUAGGCGGAUCUUUAAGUCAGGGGUGAAAUCCUGGAGCUCAACUCCAGAACUGCCUUUGAUACUGGGGAUCUCGAGUCCGGAAGAGGUGAGUGGAACUCCGAGUGUAGAGGUGAAAUUCGUAGAUAUUCGGAAGAACACCAGUGGCGAAGGCGGCUCACUGGUCCGGUACUGACGCUGAGGUGCGAAAGCGUGGGGAGCAAGCAGG